GACGAACGCUGGCGGCGUGCCUAAUACAUGCAAGUCGAACGCACUCUCGUUUAGAUUGAAGGAGCUUGCUCCUGAUUGAUAAACAUUUGAGUGAGUGGCGGACGGGUGAGUAACACGUGGGUAACCUGCCCUAAAGUGGGGGAUAACAUUUGGAAACAGAUGCUAAUACCGCAUAAAACCUAACACCGCAUGGUGUAGGGUUGAAAGAUGGUUUCGGCUAUCACUUUAGGAUGGACCCGCGGUGCAUUAGUUAGUUGGUGAGGUAAAGGCUCACCAAGACCGUGAUGCAUAGCCGACCUGAGAGGGUAAUCGGCCACACUGGGACUGAGACACGGCCCAGACUCCUACGGGAGGCAGCAGUAGGGAAUCUUCCACAAUGGACGAAAGUCUGAUGGAGCAACGCCGCGUGAGUGAAGAAGGUUUUCGGAUCGUAAGACUCUGUUGUUGGAGAAGAUGUAUCUGAUAGUAACUGAUCAGGUAGUGACGGUAUCCAACCAGAAA
rnacentral:rRNA from 1 species